AACGAACGCUGGCGGCAUGCCUAACACAUGCGAGUCGAACGAGACCGUCGGGUCUAGUGGCGCACGGGGGCGUAACGCGUGGGAACCUGCACGUAGGUUCGGAAUAACUCCCCGAAGGGGGUGCUAAUACAGGAGAAGGUCUUCGCACCAAAGAUUUAUCGCCGUUGGAUGGGCCCGGGUUGGAUUAGCUAGUUGGGAGGGUAAAAGCCUACCAAGGCGACGAUGGAUAGCUGGUCUGAGAGGAUGAUCAGCCACACUGGGACUGAGACACGGCCCAGACUCCUACGGGAGGCAGCAGUGGGGAAUAUUGGACAAUGGGCGAAAGCCUGAUCCAGCAAUGCCGCGUGAGUGAUGAAGGCCUUAGGGUUGUAAAGCUCUUUUACCCGGGAUGAUAAUGACAGUACCGGGAGAAUAAGCUCCGGCUAACUCCGUG
rnacentral:rRNA from 1 species